AGCCCUCCGGCAAUGGGGUCGGAGGAAGAACCAAUAGGGGCUGGUGUA
rnacentral:sRNA from 12 species